rnacentral:tRNA from 1 species
GAGGGUGUAGCUCAGUGGCAGAGCGCGUGCCUAGCAUGCAUGAUGUUUUGGAUUCAAUCCCCAGCACCUCCA